CUCAUUCGCGUUGCACCUAGGAGCUUUUCGUUAAUUAAAUUUUAUUAAUGUAUCGUAUUAAUUUGUUCAAAUUAUUUAUUUUACGUGAUUUAAGGUUCCCCAAUCAAUCGGAUACGUGGGUUUUAAUUUGAACAUCGCAUAAUAAGCUUCCGACAUUGAUUUCUGCUAUUCAAGACAAACUUAGAAGACAAAGAUGCCCCUACAUUAUAAUAUUCCAUUCCGAAAAAAUAAUCAUCAAUCAGAAACCUUUACUUGGAUCAAGAAAUCGAAAAACCGUGCAAUUUAACUUAAAUUUUUGAGUCUUGGCCGUAUGAAUAAAAUAAACCUAACCACACAA